CUGAACCAGUGGAAAAUUUAGACGAGUUGCGAGCUUCUGUCUGAACUCUGAAGAGCCUGCGAGAUAAUACAUUACAAGCUCCUUGCUUGGGCAUCAAUGUUGCAUUGAACGUGCAUGGAACAAAUUUCUGAACACAUUUUCUGGUGAUAGCAGACAUACAUCCCGAGAACCGCAAUGGAUGGAAUCUCAGCCCAUUCAACAUACUUUCAAUGAUUAAUUAUUCAAUAAUUUUAUUUGCACAGUAUCUCUAUUAAAUUUUCU
rnacentral:lncRNA from 1 species